GUGUUCACUUUGGCAGCACAUGCACUAAAAUUGGGGGGAUGCAGAGAUUAGCAUGGCCCCUGUGCAAGAUGACAUAUGAAUUUGUGAAGCGUUCCAUAUUUUA